UAGCGCCGAAGUAUGAACCGAGUUUCGCCAAAGUAUGAACUGAGUUUCGCUGAAGUAGGAGCCCAGCUGUGCAGAAGAAAGAAACUCCUCCGAAGUAGGAGCCACCACCAAAAGGAGCCACGGAAGAAGAAAGCCCAGAAUCCCUUGCGAGGAUCCGGAGGUGUGUGUGCGACUACGUUGGUAAAUGAGAGCUAUGGAGUGUGACUUUGCAUCCAGGAAAACCCGACAUCCCAGAAACUUUCAAAGACCCGGCUGAAUAAGAUUUAUAUGUUGCUUCAGCCUAAGAUAUCACAGCUUGAAAAGAAACCAUGAUUUUUUUUGGAAUGCGCACAAUCCCUUAGAGCUUCAUCCUGCAGAAACAAUCAGGGUGACAAAUGAGGUAUUUACUGACAGCCGGGGAUUUGCUGAGCAGAAGAUCUGAGGGGGCAGAAUUCGGCCGAAUAUGGACUCUAUUACCUGGAAAAUACAGGCCAGGAAACAAUUUCAUGGUGGAAGAGCGGCUCAUCCUGAGAAUGACUUUUCUGCAUAAAAAUAACAGGUUUUCCCAAAUACAGACUCCAUUGCUAUUUUAACCUGACUUUUUUUUGGCACAAUGCAGCCCCUAAAGGGUUAAGCUUGCAUGCCAGUAAAGAACAAGAGAGAAAAAUACCAAAACUAUUUCAUUAUGGGGAAAUUUCUUUAUGUUUGUUCCAUAGAGUUAUUUUGAGGAAAUUAUUAUUCUGAUUUGUUUUUCUUUUAUUCACAUUUUAUCCCACUU